rnacentral:rRNA from 1 species
GACGAACGCUGGCGGCGUGCCUAAUACAUGCAAGUCGAACGCAGUGGGGACGGGUGAGUAACACGUGGGUAACCUCCCAUCAGAGGGGAUAACACUUGGAAACCGGUGCUAAACCGAUACUGAUGGAUGAACCCGCGGUGCAUUAGCUAGUUGGUUAGGUAACGGCUCACCAAGGCCACGAUGAGUAGCCGCCCUGCGAAGUGGACCUGCCACAUUGGAACUGAUACGCGGCCCAGACUCCUACGGUAGGCAGCAGUAGGGAAUCUUCGGCAAUGGACGAAAGUCUGACCGAGCAACGCCGCGUGAGUGAAGAAGGUUUUCGGAUCGUAAAAUUCUGUUGUUAGAGAAGCGGUAUCUAACCAGAAAGCCACGGCUAACUACGUGCCAGCAGCCGCGGUAAUUC